rnacentral:rRNA from 1 species
GGACUACACGGGUAUCUAAUCCUGUUUGCUCCCCAUGCUUUCGCGCCUCAGCGUCAGUUUCAGCCCAGUAAACCGUCUUCACCACCGGUGUUCUUCCACAUAUCUACGCAUUUCACCGCUACACGUGGAAUUCCGUUUACCCUAUCUGAACUCUAGUCUUGAAGUUUCAAAUGCAGCUCCGGGGUUGAGCCCCGGAAUUUCACAUCUGACUUUCAAAACCGCCUACGCGCCCUUUACGCCCAGUAAUUCCGAUCAAUGCUUGCACCCUCCGUAUUACCGCGGCUGCUGGCAC